GUGAUGGGAAAGUGGCCAUGGAUGCCAAAUUAUCUUGCUGAAAACCUGUAUUUUCUGAAGCAGGUGUUAGGGACUUAUGAUGUAAUCCAUGUGCCCUGUGGCUAAGGAAGGGUGAUUAGUUGGAGCCCUAGUUUUGAUUCUCCUUGACUAAAAGAUAAUUUAUUCCAGCAGUGACCUAAGUUUUUCCACUUAGAAAAAAAAAAUUGUGGUGGGUGCCUGUGGUAGCUGGACUUGGUGAGCUUCUGCAGCCAUACUUCCACAAAGAGCAGGAGAACUGGUGCCCAUCUUUCUAGGUGAGGUUCACCAGCAUCUCUUUGCUGUGGUGACAUGUGCCCAGCUCAGUCCUUGCCCAGCUGGAAAAAUCCUCCAGCGUGGAGCUGUCCUGCUGCCCCCCUCUCUGGAACAGCAGAACCUUUUGUAAAGGAGAGUUGUGCUUAGGUAGAUUUCUAGAUUAACAGUGGCUUUUUGUAGAAAAACCUAAGCUUUUAGGCAAGUUUGUCAAAGUUCAGUUUCAGAAAUACCAGACAAAAUAGCCUCUGCUCUGACAGCAUUUUAUUUUUACAUUAUUAUUUUAUUUUCUAGGUUGCAGGUGUUUGUCACCCACAUAACAUAUAGUGUUUGCUGUCCCAGAUCCCUUCUGUAUCAUGCUUGCUUUCCCUAGGUCUAGGUGUGUUUGUUUAAGACCUAAAGAUUUAUAAUAUGAUUUCAACUAACGUUUCUCGAUUCCAACAAUUGUUUCUGCCUUUUUAGCCUCAGUUGCCUGGGACAUCCACCACAUUCUAAUUUAAGGACCUUCUGUUGUCUAACUUAGUUGAGACAAGGUGACUCGUCCUUGUUUCCACUGCUUGUGCAUUUGCUUCCUUUCCUUUGGUUUGACCAGCAGGUAACUUGGAACAAGUCUGCCAGCUACCCUCAGUGAGGAUGAAACAUCACCCACAAGCUGCAGAAGAGUUCUGGAUUAUUACAAGUUAACUAUGUUGUGUUACACUGUUGGCAGCAGGAGACUCAAUCUGAAUUCCCAGAAAGCUGAUUGCUUCUGCAUGGAGCUACUUGCAAGCUUUUGCUAAGCUUGUUAUUAAUAGAAACACUGAUGUUGAGCACCUGA